GUCAGAGUUGAGUCUGAGCCUGACAUGUCCCUUGUGCCGAGGAGCUGUUUUAGGCUGGAAAGUUGUAGAAGAAGCCAGAGAAUCUCUCAACCUGAAGCCACGAAGUUGCUCACGAGAAUCAUGCUCGUUCUCUGGUAACUACCGUGAGUUACGUCGGCAUGCCAGAAGAGUUCACCCAACAACCCGUCCUGCUGAUAUUGACCCUUCAAGAGAGCGAUCCUGGCGACGUCUUGAGCACCAAAGGGAACAUGGUGACAUUAUCAGUGCCAUCCGCUCUGCUAUGCCAGGUGCAAUUGUGCUUGGGGACUAUGCUAUUGAGAGUGAGGAU
rnacentral:lncRNA from 1 species